rnacentral:rRNA from 1 species
GAUGAACGCUAGCGGGAGGCCUAACACAUGCAAGCCGAGCGGUAUUUGUCCUUCGGGACAGAGAGAGCGGCGUACGGGUGCGGAACACGUGUGCAACCUGCCUUUAUCUGGGGGAUAGCCUUUCGAAAGGAAGAUUAAUACCCCAUAAUAUAUCGAAUGGCAUCAUUCGAUAUUGAAAACUCCGGUGGAUAGAGAUGGGCACGCGCAAGAUUAGAUAGUUGGUGAGGUAACGGCUCACCAAGUCAGUGAUCUUUAGGGGGCCUGAGAGGGUGAUCCCCCACACUGGUACUGAGACACGGACCAGACUCCUACGGGAGGCAGCAGUGAGGAAUAUUGAACAAUGGGUGAGAGCCUGAUCCAGCCAUCCCGCGUGAAGGACUAAGGCCCUAUGGGUUGUAAACUUCUUUUAUACUGGGAUAAACCUACUUACGUGUAAGUAGCUGAAGGUACAGUAUGAAUAAGCACCGGCUAACUCCGUG